rnacentral:misc_RNA from 1 species
AUCGCAUUCCCUCGCAUUUCUUUGCCAUUUUGAUAGGCUCGAUUUAAAUAUUAAAACCCACCAUUUCCCGCCUUUCAACUCCAGUGCAGUCCACUUCUUCACCGGCGAGCGACGACGGAGCCACCGUGCUAACGUCCUCUACCAACAGGUUCGUUCUUAACCCUUCCAAAUCUGAUCUGUACAAAUCGGGCCUCCUCUCCCAUAGUUCAAUACUGGCGCCGGUUCUACUCUCACCGGCUACGGACCGUCUCAAAUUCCAUUGAUUUCUUUAAUUUUUUUUCCCCUGAUGAGUGCCCAAUCUAUUGAUUAAACCCAAAAACUCCCAUUUUCUCUGUCUGUAACUUUGAGAAGAACCGCUGCAUCCCUUAUGUGGCCCAUCACCAGAGCUCACCUCUUGUGUCUGCUUUCACAAAAACCAAUUUUGCACUCUAGCUGAUUGAGAAAUUUUAUGCCUUGCUACUUCUGUAAAGUGUUGUUUUCUCUCAGGUGCUGGAGGAGAUUGUCGAUUCGAUUUUGGUUCCUCAACUUUACGUUGAUUUCCAAAUGAACGGUGUUGAGUUACCAUUCGAAAACCCAAUCGGAGAUGCGGUUUCCAGGAUCCGAUUCGCCCCCCUAUCCAAUAAUCUCCUUAUUUCCUCUUGGGACUCUAAUCUUCGAUUGUAUGAUGUGGAUGGCUCUCUGCUCAGAUUAGAAGCUCCCUCCCAAGCUGGACUCCUAGAUUGUUGUUACCAGAGCGAGUCCAUGGCUUUUAGUGCGGGUUCAGAUGGUGGAAUUAGAAGGUAUGACUUGCAUUCAGGAACCAAUGAGACAAUUGGAAGUCAUCAUGAUAUAGCAACGUGUGUUGGAUAUAGUGAUCAAACAGGCCUAUUGUUUUCAGCUAGUUUAGACAAGAAUAUAAUGUCCUGGGAUAUGCGCUCUGCAAAGUCUCUGGCAUACCUAAUAAAUAUGGGUGCAGAAGUUGAGUCCAUUUCUCUCUCUAGGUUUGAUUUGAUCGUAGCUGUUGGAGCAUCAGUGAAGAUAUAUGACUUGCGAAACUUGGAGAGGCCAGUUCAUUUGAAAGAAUCGUGUAUGGACAUAAGAACAAAGUGUAUUAGCUCAUUUCCUGGAGGUUAUGCUGUUGGAUAUGUAGAUGGACGGGUAGCAUUGGAGUUGUUGGAUCCAUCGAAUUUAAAUGAAGGAUAUACUUUUCGGUGUCAUCCAAAGUUUAAGGAUGGAAGAGCACAUCUAGUUUCAAUAAAUGACAUAGUUUUCAAUCCACUUGUAUGUGGUACUUUUGUUAGUGGUGAUAAUGAUGGCUACAUUAUCACUUGGAAUAAUGAAAGCAAAAGAAGAUUAUAUGAGUUUCCUAGAUACCCCAAUAGUGUGGCGUCUUUAUCAUUCAACCAGGGGGGAGAACUUUUGGCCAUUGCAUCCAGCUACACUUACCAAGAAGCCAAUGAAAAGGAAGUGACCCCUCAAGUAUUCAUACAAAAGAUGGGAGACUGCUAGGUCUUUUGGAGUUUCUAGUCAGAAUAAGCAUUUGUAGGAUACUUGAUGGAAAAGAUAAUUCAAAUCAUCCCAACAAUAUUUGCCUCUGAUUUUGGAAUUGGACCAAGAAUUCAUAUCUUUGGAUAAGCUGCUGUCCAACUUGCUUGAGCAAGUUUCAAGAUAUCUCAUCUUGUUCAUGGCUUCUUUCUGAGCUUGGUAAUUCUUUUCAGAGAGGGCUCGAGCUAAUCUUGUUGGAACUGUUAUGUGCUUCAAAUUAAAAACAGGUGAAAUUUUUGUUUUUAUUUUUCAUUAUUUGGCCUAGGAAUGAGUUUAGAAAUAGAAUAGUUGCAAAAUAUGUUCCUUUUUUGUUUUUUUUAAAUUAUUAUUAUUAU